rnacentral:misc_RNA from 1 species
ACUGACGAGAACGACUACCAGAUCAAGCUGCGCAAUCUGAAGCGCUUCCUUGAGGAAGGUGACAAGUGCAAGGUGACGCUGCGUUUCCGUGGUCGGGAGAUGGCGCACCAGGAAUUCGGCCUGCGUCAGCUCGAGCGGGUCAAGGCCGAUCUGGAGGAGUUGGGCCAGGUCGAGCAGAUGCCCAAGAUGGAAGGGCGUCAGAUGGUCAUGGUGAUUGCGCCGAUUCGCAAGAAUCGCUGAGCGCGACGGAGAAUCUGCUUUCCGCUUUCGGGCGGGAGGCAAACCCCGGUGGACGUUGGCCGCCGGA